GCCGGUUUAGCUUAGUGGUAGAGCGUUGCACUUGUAUUACUCCAUUACGAGCGAAUACUAUGCAAAGGUCGGUUGUUCAAUCCAGCCAACCGGCA